GGAGCGGGAGGAGGAGCCCGAAGGUGAAGCCUUUGGUGAGGGUGCGUGGAGCCCAGAGGGUGUGCUGAACUGAGGUGUUGUAUGGUAAUUAUUACUAACUCUGUUGAGUAACACUUAGUAUUUCUGCAGCUUAAUGGCUACAGAGAACUUUCAAAAACAGUGAAUUUCAUUUAUGAUCAGAUAUUACCUGGCCUGAUGUUUUUAGCCCCCCUCCCUCUAAUACAACGAAAGCAAAAGUGUUUUGGUGUUUUCCAAAGAAUGCCAGGUUUGCUAGGAGUUCUGACACAUGGCUGAUUUCAGAAACGGAAGGAAAAAUCGACUUGAGGACUGGGGAUGGUUGUGACACAUUUCAGCCUUGUGCCACAGAGGUUAACAAACUUAACUGGCAACGGUGGAUCCGGGUGUUUGAAGUUGAACUCGCAAGCUUACUCAUUGUAUUAGCAAACACAGGGCCUUUUCCUUCACUCAUGUGUGUAAGUGCGAAUUUGUUGUCAUGUCUCAAAAUUUAAAAGGUAACAAAGGACAUUCAUAUAGUGAAACAAACAAACAAACCAUCCAUCCCUAGAAGCCCUGAAGGUUGCAGGCAAUGUUAAAAGUUUCUCACGAUCCUGCAGAGACAGCCUAUGAAUGUAGAAGCAAAGAUGUAUAUUUUUGUGAAUUACCUUUUUCCCACAGUGUGCAAACAGUGCAUUUUAGUCUAAUUGAAGAUCAGUUAUAUUUGUAUGUAAAAUGGUGUCUCUUCUUUUACCCAGCUGCAUAGUGAUCCAUUGUUUGAAAGUACCAUAAUUUAUUUAGCCAGUUGCAUAAAAAAAUUGGUAUUAAAGGAGUUCCCUGGUGGCCUAGCAGUUAAGGAUCCAGCAUGGUCACUGCUGUGGCUGGGGUUCCAUCCCUGGCCUGGGAACUUCCACAUGCUGUAGGCGUGAGAGGGGUGGGGGAAAGGCAUGAAAUUUAUUUCCAGUCUUGCUAUAAUUAUCAAUGCCACAACGAAAAGCUUCAAAAAAUGAUCACUAGUAGCAUGAACUAGAUCUCAAGGUAUGCAGUUGUAAUUUUGCUAAUUCUAAGUUGCUGUUUUUAACAGCUGUGCCAAUUUGUAUUCCUACCCGAGUGCCUAUUCACCUACAUCAUCCUGUCAAAAUGUCACUUGAGAUUUAAGUUCCAAGUUUGAAGCAAAAGAUCCCAAACUCAAGACUUUCUGUGUCAUACUCACCUGCCUCUUUUCUCUGGUUUUCCCUGAUUGGGUUUGAGAUCUGCCCACCCAUGACUCACUUUUGGAAACUGGAAGAAUGGUCUAGGCCUAGAGUAGCCUCUGUAACAUUUUCUCCCAGUUAAUAGGCAAAGUUAAUAACAUCUGGCUUUCAUUCUCCUCAUAUUACUCCAAGUUCUAAUAUUCUGGCUGUUCAGCAUUGAUUUAAGUUCUGAUUCGAAUGGCGUGUUCCAUUGGUGAAACCGAACUCCCGUUUCCAUUACAAAAGAUUUAAAUUGUGCCUGGUCAGCCUCUAGACACCACCUUCAGAGCCAAGAGACAGAUUUGUAGUAACAUGAUGAGGACAGGGGUAACAAAGAUGAGGUCCAGAGCAGAAAUGUGCAUAUCUUGGCCUAAAACUUCAAAAAGCUCUUCCACUGUAAAAGAGGUGAUUGAAUUUGGAUAGAGAGGCAAAGACUGGUCUUUUAAAGCAAAGCAACGUAUUAAAAGACAACAUGUAUUUAUAGCUUUGACAGUCUACCUCUUCAGAUAAUUGAAGGGCAAAGUUAAACACUUAAAAGUUAUCUUGGUGCCAAAGAGAGCCAAAGGUCCUUCCGGAGGUUAUGGACCUUGUAGAAAUUAAAUUCCUGAAACUCAGGCUUUAAUUGCCUAUCAGCCAGUGUAUUAUCUGAAACUAAUGAUUUUAUAAAAUGCUCUGUGCUUUGAGUAUGAAACUGAUUUGUUUGUCGAAUAUAGUACGUGAUCACCGUUUAACGCUGGAAUGCUUUUAGUGUUCUGGGAAGACAAAGACUGCUUCCAUAGAACUGUUAUAUUGGUCGUUUUGUUUGAAUCCAUCAGUUCAGUUUUGUUUUUUUUUUAAGUCAUCUUUCCAAGCAAUCAUUCUGCUUCAUUUUGUUCACCAAAUUGUGACUUUACAUGAAUGAAUGGACCCAUAAAUUCAGAUGAAAUAGGCAAACUAGCUGUGUUUGUUGUUUGCUGACUCAGUAUUAGACUCUGGUAGGUCCAGAACAAUGCUUCCCAAAUGGGGGUCUAUGAACCACAAAGCUUUCCCUAGUCAACUGCCAAAUGGAAAGAGUAAGAACAUCUGUUCAUGUAGAGUAGCCAGAGGUCCUUUCUUGGGGAAAAAGUGGUCCUUUAUUCUGAGAUUGUCUUUCUCUUCCAGUGUUAAAAUACCAAAAUCCUUUUCCAUAUAUGAAAUAAUGAUCUACUAUGGUGGUGUGUUUGUUUGUUUUGACACCCUUACUUGGCCAACUAAAAAGCAGUGAAAGCUAUGGGUCCUCCCCAAUUUUUUAUUAUAUCUAAAAAUUUUACUUGGCAGGCAAGAUCUAACAGUCUAGGAAUCCCUGAGCUAAAAAUUUUUCUUUUCGUUCUAAAACUAUAACUCUGUCAUUCUAUUAUGAAAAAAAAAAAGCUGGAGAAAUCAUUUAAUUAUUAAAUUUCAUUAGUCUUUGUCACUUUAAGGAAAACGUAAGCUUCAUGAGGGAAGAGAUUUAUGUUUUGUUCACUGCUAUGUCCUCACCAUACCUACCGUGGUGCCUGGCACACAGUAGGCAAUAAAUAUCUGUUGACUGAAUGGUACUAGAAGUUAUGUGUGUAUUUUAUUAGUGAUAAAUGUUUUACCCUAUGUCAACGUUUUUUUGUAGCUUCCCUCCCUUUAUUCUCAAAACAAGAUCAAAAGACAUUUGUUAUAAAUUACUGGGUAGGUUGGUUCUUAAAGUAGUAAUAGAUACCUCCGCCCCUGCCUCUGGGAACUGCCUCCUGGGGGAGAAAGGCACCCCCACCCAGGGAAGGCUGGAAGCCUGGCUACAGUGCACUGGCCAGGCAAAGGAUAGGCACCUGAUCCAAGGAGGCCAAUCAGGUUCUCCCAAGAUUUUGCACUCAGACAGUGAGUCCCCUGCUUGUGGCCAGAAUGGCAGUGGCCUCAGGCGCUAUAGGAAAGCUGUAAAUGACCAUGUCAAUGCAGGAGCUGAGAAAGCUGGUCUGUGUAGGAGCAGAGAAGGUUGAAGCAGAUGUGCCAGAAAGGAGAAGAGGACAAAUAGAAUAGCAAAUGGGAUUCUUGUGCCCUUCCAGGUUCCUAUUCUCAACUCUUUUUUGGGGGCAGGGGAGGGUACCAUGACCUCUGGAAGUUCCCAGGCUAGGGGUUGAAUCAGAGCUGCCGUAGCUGCAGGCCUACACCACAGCCACACAGGAUCUGAGCUGUCUUUGACCUAUACCAUAGCUCAGGGCAACACCGUAUCCUUAACCCACUGAGCAAAGCCAGGAAUCGCACCUGCAUCCUCUUGGAUACCAGUUGUGUUUGUUAAUGUUACCGCUGAGCCACUACAGGAGCUCCUAUUUCCAACCCUCCUUAAAGCAGGACUGUGUUCCUAUCUGUGGAUUCCCUUAGAUACCCUCAGAAUCCUUAGAAUAAAUGUCUCUUUUGGUUCAGUUGUUGAUGAUGGUUUGUUUGUGCAUGCGUUUGCUUAAGGUAGUUCAUGUCCAUUAAUUAGAAACUAAGAACGCCAGGAAAAGUUCUAACAAAAUCAACAAGAGUUAUUUUAAUUUUGUAGUAAUGGGAAUUUUAUCCAGCUUAAUAAUUCUUUGGCUGUAGCUUUUGUUCAGAGAGGAACUUUUUCUUUCUUCCUUUUUUUUUUUUGGCCAUGCCCACAGCAUGCAGAAGUUCCUGGGCCAGGGAUUGAACUCACACCAUAGCAGUGACCCAAGCCACAGCAGCGACAACACCAGAUCCUUAAGCCACUGAGCCACAAGAGAACUCCAUCUUCCUUUUUUAGUUUUUUAAAAAGAUAUUCAUACAGAUAUGCUCACCGGCAUUUAAGCAGUGGGUUAAAGAGAAGAAAGCUCUUUGCCAAUUAUAAAUUAUUGAAAGUAAAAGAGUCAAGUGUCUCCAUCCAGAGCAUAUGAGUGGUCUUCUUUAAAAUGUUGGAAAACUUCUAAAUUCUUUGCCUCAGACUGCAUUUAGCCAUUGUAUCUAAUUCUGUAAGAUUGUCUUUUCUAUCAAACCAUUAUUAUUAAUGGAAUCCAGAUGUGAAAGUUUCAGACUUUCAAAAGUUAAAAAAAAAUUGUUUUUUUGACAUAUUAGUAUUCCCAGUGGAGAGCCACUCAGUUUUUAUUAAUGUAUUGAAAAUUCAGCUGUAAUGGUUAUUCCUUCAUUUUCUGAAAUGACAGUUUCUUCAACAAAAAGAAAGUUAGUGACAUUUCUCUUCAUCCAAUUUUAAAGUAACCUAAAAGUAAACAAAUGUUUUAUUUCCUUGCAUGGAAAUAUUGAGCUUAUUCAGUAACUUUAAAAUACAUCUGCCACUUAGACCAGGUAUUUCUAGGGUCAUCCAUUCAUUCAGCAACAUUUAUUGAGCAUCUGCCAUGGCCUGGACAUUGUGCUAGGCAAUAGGAAUACAAUAUGAAAAGACAGAUGUGUUCUUUCUUCUUCUAGAUCUUUAGGCAGGUGCUGGAAACGGGUUAUAAAACGAGUAAAAAAAAAAUAAAUAAAUAAUUACUGGAAUUCCUGUUGAGGCUCAGCGGUAAUGAACCCAACUAGUAUCCAUGAGGACACGGGUUCAAUCCCUGGCCCUGGUCAGUGGGUUAAGGAUCUGGAAUUACCAUGAGCUUCAACGUAAGUUGAAAACGUGGCUCGGAUCUUGUGUUGCUAUGGCUGUGGCUCCAAUUCCACCCCGAGCCUGGGACCCUCCAUAUACCACAGGUGUGGCCCUAAAAUAAAUAAAUUAAUAAAGUAAAAAUUACUAAUUUCAGUUAAUAUUAUGAAGAAAUCAAUGAUAUUAUAAUUCAAAAAACCACAGACAUAAACUGAUAUAAAUUUCAAUUUGCUUCAUUUUUUCCUGUGUGAUAAUGGCAAUUAAAAUAUUUUUGUUAUUAGUAAAUGUGGAAAGAUUUUUGGGUUUGAGCAGAACAUUUUCCUUCAGGAUAAUGAUAAUUAAUAACUCCAGGAUGUCAUCAUUAGUACACUUUUCUUUGAAUAUUUCAUGUAAAAUGAGGAGCAACUGAAAUCAUUUAAUCUUUAGUAUUUUGUAUCUUCCAGUGUCACUAUGUAAAAGAGUAUAAUUCAUAAUCAUAGUAUCUAUAUGAUAUUUACAUUCACAAUGGACACUUUAUAAGUACAUCUAAGAACUAUAGAACCAAUGCAAAAUCAAAAAUAGCAAUGCAUCCUUUCUGAGAGAACUCAGUUACCUCUGUUAGCUCACUAUCAUUUAUACAUUAUAAUCUUUCAUUCAUGGGGAGAAAAAGUAGAUACAUUAUUAAAGACAACAGAGUUUUAAGUUAUGGGUAUAAAAGAAGAAUUAACAUUUCCCUUUGCUGUGUUGUUUCAUUUUACUGUAGGGCGGCAAGAUUGUACAAUAAAUACAGUAUGAUUACAGAGGGAAGCAUCAAAUCAAGCUUUGAAUUUUUUGGUUUUUUUUGGCCAUGCCCAUAGCAUGAGGAAGUUCCUGGGCCAGAGACUGAACCUUUGCCACAGCAGGGAUCCCCGCCACAGCAACAAUACCACCAGGUCCUUAACCACAAGGCUACCAGGGAAUUCCCAAGCUUUGAGUUUUGGGGGUUUUGUUUGUUUGUUUUGGCUGCAUCCAAGCCAUAUGGAAAACUCCCGGGCCAGAGGUUGAAUCCAAGCUGUAGCUGCAACCUGUGCCACAGAUGCAAUAACGCUGGAACUUUAACCACUGUGCCAGGCCGGGAAUCAAACCUGUGCCUCCUCAGUGACUCAAGCUGCUAGUACUACCUGUACAUUUUUAGAAAUUUACAAAAUGCACUGAGUUCCCAUCGUGGCUCAGAAGUUAACAAACCUGACUGGCAUCCAUGAGGAUGCAGUUUCAAUCCCUGGCCUUGUUCAGUGGACUAAGGACCCUGCGUUGCUGUGAGCUGCGGUGUAGGUCACAGAUGAGGCUUGGAUCCUGAGUAGCUGUGGCUGUGGCAUAGGCCGGCAGCUUCUGAUUGGACCCCUAGCCUGGAAACUUCCAUAUGCCACGGGUACAGCCCUAAAAAAAAA
rnacentral:lncRNA from 1 species